rnacentral:rRNA from 1 species
UCGGGAAUUUUGGGCAAUGGGCGAAAGCCUGACCCAGCAACGCAGCGUGAAGGAUGAAGUAUUUCGGUAUGUAAACUUCGUAAGAAUAGGAAGAAUAAAUGACGGUACUAUUUGUAAGGUCCGGCUAACUACGUGCCAGCAGCCGCGGUAAUACGUAGGGACCAAGCGUUGUUCGGAUUUACUGGGCGUAAAGGGCGCGUAGGCGGCGUGGUAAGUCAUCUGUGAAAUCUCCGAGCUUAACUCGGAACGGUCAGAUGAUACUGCUGUGCUAGAGUACAGAAGGGGCAAUCGGAAUUCUUGGUGUAGCGGUGAAAUGCGUAGAUAUCAAGAGGAACACCUGAGGUGAAGACGGGUUGCUGGGCUGACACUGACGCUGAGGCGCGAAAGCCAGGGGAGCAAACGGGAUUAGAUACCCCGGUAGUCCC